GUCUUUGUAGAUUAGUGGUUAGAUCACCACGUUGUGGUACGAGGGAGCUUGCUUCUCUCCGUUGCAAAUCCGUGGUAACCCAGGCUCGAAUCCUGCCAAGGACA